CCUACGGGUGGCUGCAGUGGGGAAUAUUUCACAAUGGGGGGAACCCUGAUGCUGCGACGCCGCGUGAGUGAAGAAGUAUUUCGGUAUGUAAAGCUCUAUCAGCAGGGAAGAAAAUGACGGUACCUGACUAAGAAGCCCCGGCUAACUACGUGCCAGCAGCCGCGGUAAUAGGUAGGGGGCAAGCGUUAUCCGUAUUUACUGGGGGUAAAGGGAGCGUAAACGGGUUUGCAAGUCUGAAGUGAAAGCCCAAGGCUCAACCAUGGGACGGCUUUGGAAACUGUAACAAUGGAGUGCAGGAGAGGGAAGCGGAAUUCCUAGUGUAGCGGUGAAAUGCGUAGAUAUUAGGAGGAACACUAGUGGCGAAGGCGGCUUACUGGACUGUAACUGACGUUGAGGCUCGAAGGCGUGGGGAGCAAACAGGAUUAGAUACCCCAGUAGUC
rnacentral:rRNA from 1 species